CAGAUUUCUGUCUUAAGCACAUCUGCUAUUUUAAACAGAGCCAGAUUUCUAUAGAUGCCCCUCUUCAGUAAAGCCAAAGCCAGCGGCUCUGCUCAGGAGUGACAGCAGCACCCAGAUUGGGAAUGUUGCUAAAAGGAUUGCUGGAAGAUUUGAAAAAACACAUCUAAGCUGUUCCUGAGUGACAAAAAGAGAAAAGAUCAUUUCAGACACAACAGCAAGAAGCAAUUUCCUUGGAAGAGUCCUUUCUACCGAGAACAGCUGGACUUAAUUGCAAAUGAGCUGAGUGAAGGAAGUGCAUCUGAUUGCAGAGCGUAACACUGUGCAUGGCAUCCCAGCACUUCAGAAACACCCUGCUGCUCCACAGACACCUGGCCUGACGUUAAUGAGAGCCUUGUGGAAAGGCUGCUAUAGAAUCUGUAACAGCGAGCUUCCCUCAACCACAAGAGCACUCCGUAGCAUAAGCAGCAAUGCAGCUAUGCCCACAAGAGUGCAGCUGGCUUCUCCCAGAGCCUCCGGUACGACGCUACUGCAUUCAUCCAGUAUCGAUUCCGGGGAAACAGAGCUCCUGAACUCCCAAACAAUGUUUGCAGCACGGAAGGUUUCCAUUGAGAUCUGUCCUCAGGACACUGACCCAGCAGCUCCGGCAGUCUGUGAGAGCUGCAAAUAUCACACUGCAAGGUGAUGGGAGUGCGGCCCAUUGAUCUGAUGGCCUCAGCCUCUGGGAACGUGCCCAGGGCACGCGUUAGCACUGAUCUCAGAGAACAACUGCAGACAGAAGAGCUGUCCCACAGCAGAUGAUUCUCCUUGCUGUUCUAUCGCUGCAAAACGCUGCUUGCCAUUUCCAAGCCUCUUUCAA